AGGUGAUCUCUCCAAUUCUCUCUCAAAGUAUUGAAAGAUACGUUAAGCUCAUCCUAUUAUCCUUUUCAAAUUAAGGUGUUACUGAAUCAUAACAAUAUGAACUACACAUCUCUUUGUCAAAUUUCACCCGACAAUGACACAUGGAUCAUAAAAGUAAGAAUUAUAAGGAUGUGGGAUGCAGUAAACAUUGCACAAGGCAAUGAGUUGAUCAGUCUAGAUCUGAUCAUGUCGGAUGAAAAUGGAACGCUAAUACAUUCAAGUAUUAGGAAUAAAUUCGCACAACGUUUUAGGCCUCUUCUCAACGAAGGAUGCAUUUAUGAGAUAAAGAAUUUUAUAGUUGAAGAAUAUAGAGCACAAUAUCGUCCAGUGCAUCAUCAAUUUAAAAUUCUUUUUAUUUUAACGACCUC